CUUCAUUAAUGCAUUUCAAAUGCUUUCUUUGCAGAAUUUGGAAACUGAUUUAGGAGAGACGAGGAAAAAAAUAAAAAGUUUACACAGUAUAUGCAGUAACUUCAGGUAGAUGUGAAACAGGAAGAACUUUUCCAAAAUGAUUGUGAUGCAGUUGGAGCUAAGUUAUUCUUUGCUGUGAGCUGAAAAACAUUUUGUAGUAUUUAUGCCAUUUCCAUGAGAAGUCAUAAUCUAUAGGACCUGUCACUGUGCUGUAUUUUCAGACUACAGGAAGGAGUUAGAGGAGCCACAGAAUCUUUACAGACAAAACAUUGAAGAUACAACACAGCAGGCUGAGCUGAUAAAGCAGCUAGAGGCUCUCAAUGCUGAUACACAAAAAGUACUGCAAGACCAAGAAUAUGCUCACACAGCUAAAACAACAUAUCAAAAAUCUCAAGAAUCUUAUGAGCUAAGAGCAGCCUAUGGAAAACACGAAGAGAGGCUGCAGAUGUUACAGACCAACUACAGAGCACUAAAAGAGCAAUUAAAGCAGUGGGAAGAGGGUGAUAGCAGGUAAGUUACAUAGCUCAUUAAAAACAUUUUCCUUACACAAGAAAUCUUAAUAGAAGUAUUACAUAGGUAUUCAAAAGAGAAUGUAAUUUGAAGGAAGGAGCUACUGUGUGGUGAU
rnacentral:lncRNA from 1 species